GACGAACGCUGGCGGCGUGCUUAACACAUGCAAGUCGAACGGAAAGGCCCUGCUUUUGUGUGGUGCUCGAGUGGCGAACGGGUGAGUAACACGUGAGUAACCUGCCCUUGACUUUGGGAUAACUUCAGGAAACUGGGGCUAAUACCGGAUAGGAGCUCCUGCUGCAUGGUGGGGGUUGGAAAGUUUCGGCGGUUGGGGAUGGACUGGGGGCUUAUCAGCUUGUUGGUGGGGUAGUGGCUUACCAAGGCUUUGGCGGGUAGCCGGCCUGGGAGGGUGACCGGCCACAUUGGGACUGAGGUACGGCCCAGACUCCUACGGGAGGCAGCAGUGGGGAAUAUUGCACAAUGGGCGGAAGCCUGAUGCAGCAACGCCGCGUGCGGGAUGACGGCCUUCGGGUUGUAAACCGCUUUCGCCUGUGACGAAGCGUGAGUGACGGUAAUGGGUAAAGAAGCACCGGCUAACUACGUG
rnacentral:rRNA from 1 species